AUUGAACGCUGGCGGCAUGCCUUACACAUGCAAGUCGAACGGCAGCACGGGAGCAAUCCUGGUGGCGAGCGGCGAACGGGUGAGUAACACGUGAGGAACCUGCCCCGAAGACCGGGACAACACCGGGAAACCGGUGCUAAUACCGGAUGCCUUCACCGGAUCGCAUGGUCUGGUGAAGAAAUGGAUUCCGCUUCGGGAUGGCCUCGCGGCCUAUCAGCUUGUUGGUGAGGUAAUGGCUCACCAAGGCGACGACGGGUAGCUGGUCUGAGAGGAUGUCCAGCCACACUGGGACUGGGACACGGCCCAGACUCCUACGGGAGGCAGCAGUUAGGAAUCUUGCGCAAUGGGCGAAAGCCUGACGCAGCGACGCCGCGUGCGGGAUGAAGGCCUUCGGGUUGUAAACCGCUUUCAGCAGGGACGAAAUUGACGGUACCUGCAGAAGAAGCCCCGGCCAACUACGUGCCAGCCGCCGCGGUAA
rnacentral:rRNA from 1 species